CUGAGUAUGAAUAAAUUCAUCUGAGACUAAUGUUAGUUUAAUAUUAACUUGCCGUGGGAUACCUGAAUUCAAGUUUUAGGGAUAAACUAUAACUCAAAGUGUUAAUCCCUUACUUUUAAUGGGAGGUUGAAUGACACUGUAGAAAACUGGAGGGGAAGAUUUUUUUAAGAAAGUGAAUUUUACAGCAGUGUCUUUCAAAUUGCCUAAUAAGUGAUCACCUAUUUUGCUUGCAGUAAUUUUAAGAAAUAUAUAUUUCAUCCAUCUAUCUAUCAUCUAUCUAUCUAUCUAUCGUCUAUCAUCUAUCUGUAUCACAAUAUAUCAGCUUCUCAUGUCUCUGCUUGUUUCCUUUUUCUUUUUGCCUUUUCCCCUUCCAACUCUGGACUUUAUUUUCAGGCGAAAAGCUUUGCUGUUAGGAGUCAGAGGGAUGUGCUACUGCAGCUGCCAUCUGGACAGCAGUCUCCUCUCUGAGCUUCUCUUUUCCUUGGAAAAUCUUUUUGAAUCUCCCAUUUAUCACUCUCUGGGUCAAUGAAACCAAGGUGCAAAAGUAAGCAUACUCAACUAUAGUAAUAUACAAUUCAAAAUAAAUAAACUCACAUUUCCUAUAUAAAGUUUUUUGAGUUCUGAUUCCAAAACCUACAUACAUGUAAUUAUUCCAUAACCAGAGAUUUUGAAUAUGGGGUGAUUUCCAUGUUACUAUUAUUGUCAUUAUUAUUAUUAUUAUUAUUAUUAUUAUUAUUAUUAUAUUCAAAUGGUUUAAAUUUUUUCAUUGUCACUCAGAUAAGCAGCUAAUUCUACUAACUUGUAAUUCCAUAAAAAAAUGAGCCAUUUGUCCUAGGAACAACAAAAGAUCAAGCUACCUUGAUCUGAAAGAGUACAUGAGUGGAACUUUUGUGUAACUUCGUUUUAUAUCAUCAUUCUGUUUUUACUUCCAAGAGACUGUGAAAAAUGUUGCACUUGGAAUUUAUUUUCAUAUGUAAUUUAUAAUUUUCGUUUUAGCAAUAAAGAUGGU